UACGGGGGGGGCAAGCGUUGUCCGGAAUUAUUGGGCGUAAAGGGCUCGUGGGCGGUCUGUCGCGUCGAAAGUGAAAACCCAGGGCUUAACCCUGGGCCUGCUUCCGAUACGGGCAGACUAGAGGUAUGCAGGGGAGAACGGAAUUCCUGGUGUAGCGGUGAAAUGCGCAGAUAUCAGGAGGAACACCGGUGGCGAAGGCGGUUCUCUGGGCAUUACCUGACGCUGAGGAGCGAAAGUGUGGGGAGCGAACAGG
rnacentral:rRNA from 1 species